rnacentral:lncRNA from 1 species
CGGAAACUUUUGGCUCCAUCAACAGAAGAGCAAGAGCAAAAACUCAAUUAAACGCGUUCUUCCUCCAUCCUUGCCUAGUCCAAAAGUUAAAACAAAAAGAAGAAAAAAGAAAAACUGUUUGGAUGUGUAGCGCUGAGGUUUGCUUUUUACUUUUUAUUUUUCCUCUAAAACAGCCAGGUGGAUUCACAUGAUCCAAUUUUUUUAAUUGUGUUCUACGUCCCACUCCGAAUAACCCGGAUGCCCCAGCACAAUCAGAGAGAUCGUUUUCUAAAAAAAAUUUCAGUCUCCAAAGGUGGGAGGGGUGUGUUGGGGGAGAAAGUACUUUAAUUAAAAAUCAAUAACUCGAGGUUUUUGGGAUACCGUUUGCCAUUUCCUAAUUAAGAAAUGGGUUUGACAGUCCCUUUGUAGACACUGCUAUGAAAACCCCAAAGGGUUGGGUGGCUGUCCGGGCGAUGACACUCCGGCUCCCUGCGAGACCCCGGGCCAGUCAGGCCCGUCCAUAGCCGGCCUCUGGGGUACGUCCCCGGCUCGCGCAGAUACCUCGCUUUCCCUGGCUCUGUCUCCUGCGUUCGGUUCGGCGCGGGGCUGGCCGCCUCAGGCUCGCCGCCACCAGGUCUUUGCAAAAUACCUUUUCCCUCCCCGGGGCCCCAGCGCGCGGCCACCUCCCAGCCUCCCUCCCACUCUGGCAGCGGGGCCCUUCCCCGGCUCGGGAACAGCAACCCGGGCCGCGGCGGCAGGAAGCAAGGCCCUUGUUGCUGCUGUUCCUUGGCGCGCCUCCCCGCCCUCCGGGGGCCGCUGCGGCUCUUCCGCGCUCCCUGGCGCCCCCCCCUCCGCGCCUGCGCCGUGCCCCACGGGGGGCGGGGCUCAGAUUCCUGUCAGCGGCGGCGGCGGUGGCGGCGACCGUCAGUUUUCGCUGAGGAGAAGCACGAAACGGACCCUUUGGCUCUCUCCCUUCCCCUUCCCCGCCCUGAACCCCUCUCCUGGCCACCGAGAAUCAGUCCCCGUGGAGUUCACCCUCCACCUCGCCAUCGUUUCCUCGGUCCUCGGCCCGGUGAAAGUCACUACCCUCGAGGAGGAGGCAGCUGCAGCCGCCCUCGCCUCGUCGCCCCCGGUUCGGUGCCCGCGGUCCCGGAGAGGAGGUGCCGCCGCCACCGCCGCUCCCCCCCUCCCGCUGCCCUCGGG